CAGUAGCCGCGGGAAAACCAGCACCUCGAGUGGUCAGGAGGUUUAUUGGGCCUAAAGCAUCCGUAGCCGGUUGCAUAAGUUUUCGGUUAAAUCUAUGCGCUUAACGUAUAGGCCGCCGAAAAUACUGUGCAGCUAGGGAGUGGGAGAGGUACACGGUACUCGAUAGGAAGGGGUAAAAUCCUUUGAUCUAUUGAUGACCACCUGUGGCGAAGGCGGUGUACCAGAACACGUUCGACGGUGAGGGAUGAAAGCUGGGGGAGCAAACCGGAUUAGAUACCCCCGUAGUCCCUGUCUCUUAUAC
rnacentral:rRNA from 1 species